rnacentral:lncRNA from 1 species
CUCAACAGUAUUUUCUCUAUGGGAUAGUCUUACAAAAUAAUUGCAAGAUAUAUUGGUCUUCUCAAAAUAAAAAAAACAUUAUUAAACAAUGUUUUCAAAGCAUUUAUCUAGGAUUAAUACUAUUCGCUUCAUUUAAAUACUUCUGGGCUUAACACUAUAUUUUAAUCCGAUAGUGAGAAAGUAGAUUGAUAUAACCUUAUAUAAUACCACACUGCAAGAAAAAAAGAGGCUUUUCUUAAUUUAAAAUUGGUAACAUCCAAAAAGUAAUUAAGGAAACAAGAGCGUCUACUGCUUAAAACACAAGGUUGAGAAAAAAACUUAACAGUACAACAGUAAUAACGACAGCAACAUCUCGCACGUCCUUUUCCGGACCUCCGUCUCACCCACCCUGCUCCCUCUGCCUGAGACCACCUUCUCACCCCGCAGGCUCCUGGGCACAACUCAGCUGCGGGGGGGCUUCUUCCGGAACACGCUGGGCGGCGCCACGCCCAUCCGACUGCCCUUCCGUCGUCCGGGAGGCGGGGGGCGGGGAUUAUUACUGCCAGCACCGGGUGAAGUACACGUGGGACGUCGUCAAAGCCCCUCCGAGGCCCCGACCCCUGACGCGCACCUUCCGGGCAGCCCCGCCCCCACGUGCCUCCCUGCCGCGCAGCUGCGGUGGGCGCCUUCCUUCCUUCACGUUCGCACACUCCUUUCACCUGCCGAGGAAAGGAAAGAGCCCCACGACGUUUAGAGGUAUCUCCUCACCUCCUGAGACGAAAGAGGACUAUGGGAGAGGAGCGGGACGGAGGCACUUCAGGGACACUGCCUCUGGAGGCGACAGUGGUAAGGGUCUCCGCGGCAGAGCCCUUGCCCAGACCAGCAGCAGUGCAGACGCAGACCGUGGUGAAUUUGGUGAAUUGUGCUGUGUGACAGUGAUAUGGGGCUUGGAGCUGUGUGGUGUCUUCUGCAGGUAUGACUCCUGGUGAUACAGUCUUCAGGGCCUGCUGUGGGCCUUCCCAGAGGUUAUGUGGCCUAUCUGUAAUUACUUCCGAGAUUACUUUUCUGUGUUGCUGGCAACAAAGAACAAUGGCAGAUACAUCCACCUGGCCCACUCCAUUCACUGGCAGCAACCGAUAAUCCAAUGUAUCAAUACGAAUUUAAAAAUUGACUAGGAGGCAUAGGGAAUGGAGAAGGAUCCGAUUUUAAUGGUUGCUUGCAACACAAAGAAAUGAAUAAGAUCCCAGAUUUCUUAAUCAAAUACUUUAUUUGUG